GCGGGCGUGGCCAAGCAGUAAGGCAACCGGCUGCAGACCGGUGAUCCCGAGUGCAAAUCUCGGCGCCCGCU
rnacentral:tRNA from 1 species